rnacentral:misc_RNA from 1 species
AAAAAAAAACAAUGUUUCAUAAAUGUUGCUGUAAAUAAUAGCCUCACUUGAACAACAUUUGUAAUAAACGUUGUUAUAGGACAAUUGCAAUGUUUUGUUGUGUGUAUGAACAUGAAAGACAGGAAAAGAAAUACAAAGAGGCAGAAACAUUACAACAUUGACAAUACUAAUUUAUCAAAGAUAACCAAAAACAAUCAAAGGCUACUCUUGCCGAAUGCUUGUAAAUUUAGAGAUCAUACCAUGCCUUACACUAGCAUUUUAACAGUCAUUUCACAUAUUAUGUCUCAUUACUGCAUGUUUCAUAAAACCAAAGCAUCCAUUUCAU